GACAAACGCUGGCGGCGUGCCUAAUACAUGCAAGUCGAACGGGGAAAGCUUUCGGGUGAGUACUAGUGGCGCACGGGUGAGGAACGCGUGGAUAAUCUGCCUUAGAGUGGGGGAUAACUAGUCGAAAGAUUAGCUAAUACCGCAUAAGACCACGAGAGCUGCGGCUUUUGAGGUCAAAGGUUUUUCGCUCUAAGAUGAGUCCGCGUAAGAUUAGCUAGUUGGUGAGGUAACGGCUCACCAAGGCGACGAUCUUUAACUGGUCUGAGAGGAUGAUCAGUCACACUGGAACUGAGACACGGUCCAGACUCCUACGGGAGGCAGCAGUAGGGAAUAUUGCACAAUGGAGGAAACUCUGAUGCAGCGACGCCGCGUGAGUGAUGAAGGCCUUCGGGUCGUAAAGCUCUGUCGCAGGGGAAUAACACAAUGAAGGUACCCUGUAAGAAAGGAUCGGCUAACUUCGUG
rnacentral:rRNA from 1 species